CUACGGGGGGCUGCAGUGAGGAAUAUUGCACAAUGGGGGGAACCCUGAUGCAGCAACGCCGCGUGGAGGAUGACGCAUUCCGGUGUAUAAACUCCUUUUAUAUGUCAAGAAAAUGACGGUAGCAUACGAAUAAGCACCGGCUAACUCCGUGCCAGCAGCCGCGGUAAUACGGAGGGUGCAAGCGUUACUCGGAAUCACUGGGCGUAAAGGACGCGUAGGCGGGUUGGAAAGUCAGGUGUGAAAUCCUACAGCUUAACUGUAGAACUGCACUUGAAACUUCUAAUCUAGAGUAUGGGAGGGGGAGAUGGAAUUAGUGGUGUAGGGGUAAAAUCCGUAGAUAUCACUAGGAAUACCUAAAGCGAAGGCGAUCUCCUGGAACAUUACUGACGCUAAGGCGUGAAAGCGUGGGGAGCAAACAGGAUUAGAUACCCGUGUAGUC
rnacentral:rRNA from 1 species